rnacentral:rRNA from 1 species
AUUGAACGCUGGCGGCAGGCCUAACACAUGCAAGUCGAACGAGUGGCGGACGGGUGAGUAAGAUCUGGGAAACUGCCAGAUGGAGGGGGAUAACUACUGGAAACGGUAGCUAAUACCGCAUACCAUCAGAUGUGCCCAGAUGGGAUUAGCUUGUUGGUGGGGUAACGGCUAACAAAGGCGACGAUCCCUAGCUGGUCUGAGAGGAUGACCAGCCAAACGGGAAUGGAGACACGGCCAAGACUCCUACGGGGGGCAGCAGUGGGGAAUAUUGGACAAUGGGCGCAAGCCUGAGGCAGCCAUGCCGCGUGUAGGAAGAAGGCCUUCGGGUUGUAAAGUACUUUCAGCGGGGAGGCGUUACCUGCAGAAGAAGCACCGGCUAACUCCGUGCCAGCAGCCGCGGUAAUUC